rnacentral:rRNA from 1 species
UAAUACAGAGGCCACGAGCGUUAGGCGGAAUCACUGGGCUUAAAGCGUGUGUAGGUGGAUGGGUAAGUACCUUGUGAAAUCCCACGACUCAAUCGUGGAACUGCUUGGUAUACUGCCUGUCUUGAGGCACUCAGGGGCGAGCGGAACAGAUGGUGGAGCGGUGAAAUGCGUAGAUAUCAUCUGGAACGCCAAUGGUGAAGACAGCUCGCUGGGGGUGUACUGACACUGAGACACGAAAGCCAGGGGAGCAAACGGGAUUAGAUACCCCGGUAGUCCUGGCCCUAAACAAUGUCCACUAGGUUGUGGCUCCACUGACGGAGUCAUGGCCGAAACGAAAGCGUUAAGUGGACCGCCUGGGAAGUACGGUCGCAAGGCUA